rnacentral:lncRNA from 1 species
UUCCCCUUUCCAUCUUUCCUUCACAAAACCCUAAUCUAAGCCGGUCGCAUGUCGUUAACCUCUUCAAUUUGCGAUUCCUCUCUGCUACUCCUUCAUCUCCGGUGAUUACUCCGGAGUAUAAGGGCAGUUUGGCGACACUUAGUUGACCAAAGUCUUCAUGAUUUCAUUCGGUUCAACAUUGAACAGGACAAGUAAUGGUUGAUGGGCAUGAGCAUGACAUUAAGGAACUUACACUGUGUUCCAGAGUUUACUAAUGGAAGGAAGGAAAAGAAACAAAAAGAAAGUAAAAAUAUUUUGUGUUCCAGAGUUUCAUUUAAGGAAGGAAAAGAAAGUAAAAUAAAAAAUGCCGUGUUCCCGAGUUUCAUUUAAGGAAGGAAUAGAAAGGAAAUUAAAGGAAAACUAAGCUAAAUUCUUUAGUUUUUCUUUCCUUCAGAUUUGGGAGGAAAUGGUGGGAAAGACAUCUUUUUUUUCCUUUCUCGUCCUUUCCUUUCUCACUUUUACUUUCUUUUCUUAUCCCUCGUUAAGUUAACUCGGGAACAGAGCGUUAAAUUGAAAUGGUUAAGACAACAAAUUGGGUUGGUUAGCCAAGAGCCAACAUUCUUUGCGAUAACCAUUCAAGAAAACAUCCUUUUGGGUUGACUCGAUGCGUCCAUGGUUAAAAUUGAAGGAAGCUGCUCGUGUGUCCAAUGCGUAUGAUACUCUGGUCAGACCAUUUUUUGCAUUGGAAGGGUAUUAUCAUCAUUUUAAGCCAGGCCAGAUGGUUUGAUUUAAACAAUUAUAUUAGCAAUACGUGUUUUCUUUAAGUAUUUAUGUUUCUUUAUCAAUAAUUCAUUCUUUUUUAGUCCAUGAUUGCUUUUCUAUCACUUUUUUUGAUAAUCUACUAGAAAGUGUUAGUGGCUUAAGUGAAACUUGGAUGCUUCACGAGGCAUAUCGUUUGUCUCCUUACUGAAUACUCCGGUGAUCCAAACAGUUGGUGCGCACUGCGCAUAUUUCUUAAAAGAGAAUUCGUUCCGGUGGAUCAUAGGCAGAUCCAACAAAGGAGUAUCACAUGGCAGAAAUUGAAUGCUGGUGUGGAAGAUUAUAUUUUUAGGUCACAUGUAGUUUUUGUUCUCGUAGGGAUGGUUCUGCAGUUACUUUUUGUGUUUUCCUUAUAUUAUAUUUUGGUGGCUUUUAGCAACUUGCUAAGAGCUAUUGGUAUUUAAUGAUAUGUCAUCAAUUUGCCUUUCAAAUAAACUUAAA